rnacentral:rRNA from 1 species
GACGAACGCUGGCGGCGUGCUUAACACAUGCAAGUCGAACGGAAAGGCCUCUUUCGGGGGGUACUCGAGUGGCGAACGGGUGAGUAACACGUGAGUAACCUGCCCUUGACUUUGGGAUAACUUCAGGAAACUGGGGCUAAUACCGGAUAGGAGCUCCUGCUGCAUGGUGGGGGUUGGAAAGUUUCGGCGGUUGGGGAUGGACUCGCGGCUUAUCAGCUUGUUGGUGAGGUAGUGGCUUACCGAGGCUUUGACGGGUAGCCGGCCUGAGAGGGUGACCGGCCACAUUGGGACUGAGAUACGGCCCAGACUCCUACGGGAGGCAGCAGUGGGGAAUAUUGCACAAUGGGUGGAAGCCUGAUGCAGCAACGCCGUGUGCGGGAUGACGGCCUUCGGGUUGUAAACCGCUUUCGCUCAUGACGAAGCUUUGUGUGACGGUAGUGGGUAAAGAAGCACCGGCUAACUACGUG